UGAGGAAUAUUGGUCAAUGGGCGAGAGCCUGAACCAGCCAAGUCGCGUGAAGGAAGAAGGAUCUAUGGUUCGUAAACUUCUUUUGCAGGGGAAUAAAGUGCAGGACGUGUCCUGUUUUGUAUGUACCCUGAGAAUAAGGAUCGGCUAACUCCGUGCCAGCAGCCGCGGUAAUACGGAGGAUCCGAGCGUUAUCCGGAUUUAUUGGGUUUAAAGGGUGCGUAGGUGGUUUGAUAAGUCAGCGGUGAAAGUUUGCAGCUUAACUGUAAAAAUGCCGUUGAAACUGUCGGACUUGAGUGUAUAUGAGGUAGGCGGGAUGCGUGGUGUAGCAGUGAAAUGCAUAGAUAUCACGCAGAACUCCGAGUGCGAAGGCAGCUUACUAAGCUACAACUGACACUGAAGCACGAAAGCGUGG
rnacentral:rRNA from 1 species